UGGUAAAAAUCCAUUCAAUUUUACUGUUAAAAACUGGUGUGACUAAUAGAAUAACCAGAUACAUGUGUACCUCAUUUUGAUGUACAAGGAUCAGUAUUUAACAGUAGAAAUGGAUGAAAUUAACA
rfam:Gossypium raimondii Chr07_contig_398, whole genome shotgun sequence.